rnacentral:rRNA from 1 species
GACGAACGCUGGCGGCGUGCUUAACACAUGCAAGUCGAACGGAAAGGCCCUGCUUUUGUGGGGUGCUCGAUUGGCGAAGGGGUGAGUAACACGUGAGUAACCUGCCCUUGUCUUUGGGAUAACUUCAGGAAAAUGGGGCUAAUAUCCGAUAGGAUCUCCUGCUGCACGGGGGGGGUUGGAAAGUUCCGGCGGUUGGGGAUGGACUGGCGGGUUACCCGCUAGUUGGUGGAGUAGGUGCUUUCGACGGUUUUGACGGGUAGCCGGCCUGGGCGGGUGGCCGGCGACAAUGGGACUGAGGUACGGACCAGACUCCAACGGGCGGCAACGGGGGGGAACCUUGCGGAGUGAGCGGGAGCCAGAUGCAGCAGCGCCGGGUGCGGAAUGCCGGCCUUCUAGUUAUAAACCACUUUCGCCGGUGACAAAGCGUGAGUGACGGUAAUGGGUAAGAAAGCAACGGCUAACUACGUG